GAUCACGCCGCGUGAGUGAUGAAGGUUUCGGAUCGUAAACUCUGUUGUUAGGGAAGAACAAGUGUAUAGUAACUGAUGGCACCUUGACGGUACCUAACCAGAAAGCCACGGCUAACUACGUGCCAGCAGCCGCGGUAAUACGUAGGUGGCAAGCGUUGUCCGGAAUUAUUGGGCGUAAAGCGCUCGCAGGCGGUUCUUUAAGUCUGAUGUGAAAUCUUACGGCUUAACCGUAAACGUGCAUUGGAAACUGGGGAACUUGAGUGCAGAAGAGGAGAGUGGAAUUCCACGUGUAGCGGUGAAAUGCGUAGAGAUGUGGAGGAACACCAGUGGCGAAGGCGACUCUCUGGUCUGUAACUGACGCUGAGGAGCGAAAGCGUGGGGAGCGAACAGGAUUAGAUACCCUGGUAGUCCACGCCGUAAACGAUGAGUGCUAGGUGUCAGGGGGUUUCCGCCCCUUAGUGCUGAAGUUAACGCAUUACGCACUCCGCCUGCGGAGUACGGCCGCCA
rnacentral:rRNA from 1 species